rnacentral:rRNA from 1 species
UACGGGGGGAGCAAGCGUUGUCCGGAUUUACUGGGCGUAAAGGGCGCGUAGGCGGUCACUACAAGUCAGUUGUGAAAUCUCUGGGCUUAACUCAGAACGGUCAACUGAUACUGUUGGACUAGAGUGCAGAAGGGGCAACUGGAAUUCUCGGUGUAGCGGUGAAAUGCGUAGAUAUCGAGAGGAACACCUGCGGCGAAGGCGGGUUGCUGGGCUGACACUGACGCUGAGGCGCGAAAGCUAGGGGAGCGAACGGG